CCGGAAGAAAGCUUGGCAACAGGCGCUCACAGGGGAGCUCGCGGCCCAUUAGCUAGUUGGGGGGGUAAGGGCCUCCCAAGGCGACGAUGGGUAGCCGGCCUGAGAGGGUGAACGGCCACACUGGGACUGAGACACGGCCCAGACUCCUACGGGAGGCAGCAGUAGGGAAUCUUCCACAAUGGGCGCAAGCCUGAUGGAGCAACGCCGCGUGAGUGAAGACGGCCUUCGGGUUGUAAAGCUCUGUCUGUCGGGACGAAGACCGGCCCGGAAGGGCCGGGGAGCCGGUACCGACGGAGGAAGCCCCUGCAAACUACGUGCCAGCAGCCGCGGUAAGACGUAGGGGGCAAGCGUUGUCCGGAAUUACUGGGCGUAAAGGGCGUGUAGGCGGUGCGAUACGUAGCGGUUUUAAGCCUCCGGCUCACCCGGAGGAGGGCGGCUAAACGGUCGCGCUAGAGGGCAGGAGAGGUGCGUGGAAUUCCUGGUGGAGCGGUGAAAUGCGUAGAGAUCAGGAAGAACACCCGUGGCGAAGGCGGCGCACUGGCCUGGCCCUGACGCUGAGGCGCGACAGCGUGGGGAGCGAACGGGAUUAGAUACCCCGGUAGUCCACGCCGUAAACGAUGGGUACUAGGUGUCGCCCGGGUCCACCGGGCGGUGCCGGAGCUAACGCACUAAGUACCCCGCCUGGGGAGUACGGCCGCAAGGUUGAAACUCAAAGGAAUUGACGGGGGCCCGCACAAGCAGUGGAGCAUGUGGUUUAAUUCGACGCAACGCGCAGAACCUUACCAGGACUGGACACGCUCGUGAGCGCCGCGAAAGCGGCGGGCCCUUCGGGGAGCGAGCGCAGGUGCUGCAUGGUUGUCGUCAGCUCGUGUCGUGAGAUGUUGGGUUAAGUCCCGCAACGAGCGCAACCCUUGUCGUGUGUUGCCAGCGGUGCGGCCGGGCACUCACACGAGACUGCCGGUGACAAACCGGAGGAAGGUGGGGAUGACGUCAAAUCCGCAUGGCCUUGAUGUUCUGGGCUACACACGUGCUACAAUGGUCCCGACAACGGGAUGCGACGGCGCGAGCCGGAGCCAAUCCUUCAAACGGGAUCUCAGUUCGGAUUGCAGGCUGCAACUCGCCUGCAUGAAGCCGGAAUUGCUAGUAAUCGCCCAUCAGCAUGGGGCGGUGAAUUCGUUCCCGGGCCUUGUACACACCGCCCGUCACA
rnacentral:rRNA from 1 species